rfam:Candidatus Magasanikbacteria bacterium CG1_02_32_51 cg1_0.2_scaffold_3529_c, whole genome shotgun sequence.
CUGGCUGGGGCUAGAGCAUCUGGUUUGGGACCAGAGGGUCGAAGGUUCAAGUCCUUUCACUCCGA